CCUGUCAUGCUCAUUUAUUUAAUCAAAAUAAGACACUUUUGCAUAAUUCGCAACGGAUACAAAAUAACAACAUUCAAAUCAUGUACUACAUUACAUGUAAAGUUGUUCAACAACCAAAAGAAAACAUAGUAAAACAUCCCAUCCCGAUGUUACAUCUACCAGAGCAUGACCCACUAAGGACUACACUAGACUCCCAGGACUAGCUUCUACUCAAUCACUGCUCGUUACCUG
rnacentral:lncRNA from 1 species